rnacentral:rRNA from 1 species
AUUGAACGCUGGCGGCAGGCCUAACACAUGCAAGUCGAACGGUAACAGGAAGCAGCUUGCUGCUUUGCUGACGAGUGGCGGACGGGUGAGUAAUGUCUGGGAAACUGCCUGAUGGAGGGGGAUAACUACUGGAAACGGUAGCUAAUACCGCAUAACGUCGCAAGACCAAAGGGGGGGACCUUCGGGCCUCUUGCCAUCGGAUGUGCCCAGAUGGGAUUAGCUAGUAGGUGGGGUAACGGCUCACCUAGGCGACGAUCCCUAGCUGGUCUGAGAGGAUGACCAGCCACACGGGAACUGAGCCACGGUCCAGACUCCUACGGGAGGCAGCGGUGGGGAAUAUUGCACAAUGGGCGCAAGCCUGAUGCAGCCAUGCCGCGUGUAUGAAGAAGGCCUUCGGGUUGUAAAGUACUUUCAGCGGGGAGGAAGGGAGUAAAGUUAAUACCUUUGCUCAUUGACGUUACCCGCAGAAGAAGCCCGGGCUAACUCCGUG